GUCAGGAUGGCCGAGCGGUAUCAGGCGCUCCGUUCAGGUCGCAGUCUGGUUCUCAAGGCGUGGGUUCGAAUCCCACUCCUGACA
rfam:Nematostella vectensis strain CH2 x CH6 NEMVEscaffold_232_Cont19872, whole genome shotgun sequence.